GGAGGGCUAUACAGUAGCUCAGUGGCAGAGCAUGUGCUUUGCAUGCAGAAGGUCCUGGGCUCAAUCCCUUGUAGUUCCA